UACGUAGGGGGCAAGCGUUGUCCGGAUUUAUUGGGCGUAAAGAGCGUGUAGGCGGCCAGGUAGGUCUGCUGUGAAAACUCAAGGCUUAACCUCGAGCUGUCGGCGGAAACCAUCUGGCUAGAGUCCGGAAGAGGAGAAUGGAAUUCCCGGUGUAGCGGUGAAAUGCGCAGAUAUCGGGAAGAACACCCGUGGCGAAGGCGGUUCUCUGGGACGGUACUGACGCUGAGACGCGAAAGCGUGGGGAGCGAACAGG
rnacentral:rRNA from 1 species